GAUGAACGCUGACAGAAUGCUUAACACAUGCAAGUCAACUGUGGCGGACGGGUGAGUAACGCGUAAAGAACUUGCCUCCCAGCUAGGGACAACAUUUGGAAACGAAUGCUAAUACCUGAUACUGUGAGAGAGCUUUGCGUCCCAUUAGCUAGUUGGAGAGGUAACGGCUCACCAAGGCGAUGAUGGGUAGCCGGCCUGAGAGGGUGAUCGGCCACAAGGGGACUGAGACACGGCCCUGAGUCCUACGGGAGGAAGCAGGGGGGAAUAUUGGACAAAGGACCGAAGUCGGAUCCAGCAAUUCGGUGGGCAAGAUGAAGUUUUCGGAAUGAAAAGUGCUUUCAGUUGGGAAGCGGUACCAACAGAAGAAGUGACGGCUAAAUACGUGCCAGCAGCCGCGGUAAUAC
rnacentral:rRNA from 1 species